AUUACACUCAAGCCUGGGCUUUGCAGUGAGACUUUAUCUCAAAAAAAAAGAUAAAAUUGACAAACCUUUAGUCAGACUAAGGAAAAAAGAGUGGAGACUCAAAUGCGUACAGUCAGAGAUGAAAAAAGAGACAUUGCCACUGAUACUUCAGAAAUUUAAAAGAUUAUGAGAUGCUACUAUGACUGCUUAGGAAGUUGAACUGGCUGGAGCUGGUAGACACACAGUAAAGGAUAAGUACAUGUGUCUUAACCUAUUUAUUAGGCAAUUAUUCUCACAGCUAACCUAGCAUGUAGUUCACUAUAAUUUCAGAGAGUUUGCAUAGCUGUCCUCAAAUUGCUCAGUUGUCAAAAAAAUGUUUUGUGUUUUUUUUGUUCCACCUAUGAUUUCCAGGUUACUGAGUCAUUCCAUAAUCUACCAAACUGGUAAAUUCAGAGUUUCUAAAGACCAGGAGUGUGCUUUUAAUCACAUGCAGAACCAUUUAAUGUUUAGGAUCAAAGUGGGGUUAAG
rnacentral:lncRNA from 10 species